UUUUUGUCUGUAUUCAUGUCGCCAUAUAAAGGAAAUGACUGACUGAUUACUGGUAGGACGGCAUAUUUCCGCUAAGCGCUCAGUCUGUAUUACAUGUUUAUGGCAAAUUCCUCUUUUAGCUUCAAUUCUUCACUUCGUUUUGCUUACGGUACGUCCAAAAAACAAUUUGAGGAUCAACAGGCUAUUGAAUAAUAUACAUACAUGAAACUGUACAUGUUAAUAAUACUUUUGUAUACAGAUACGCGUAACUUUUUCCGAGUCCACGAAAAUUGUCGAGAAGCAUUAGAAAAAAAAUUUGAGAUAUAACAAAAGUCACAUAAUUUAAUCGUCGUUAUUUCAUAUA